CUAACAAAGAUUUUUUUAGUAGCUGCGAGCGAACGAUUAUAAAGCUCAGCUCUUAACCUUUUGUUUUAUAACUAUAAGGACUUUAGAGUAUUAAAAUGCCAAUUAUUUUUUUGGUUUGCUCAAGUUUUCAUGAAUGAAACUAACCAAUGAGGGUGCUAGUCCCGUAUAGCGACCAAGACAAAUAAUAUGCGUUUUAAAUGAGUCGGGUUGUUUGAGAUUGCAGCCCUAAUUAGGUGGUAAAUUUCACUUAAAGCUAAAUAUUACUGCAAGACCGAUAGUCGACAAGUAGCCGUGAGGGAAAGUUGAAAAGAACUUUGAAGAGAGAGUUCAAUAGUACGUGAAACUGUUAAACAAAAAAUGAGUGAGCGCUUAUACUUUAGCAGUAAAAAUCAUUUGAGUAAUGUGAAACUAUUUUCGCAGUUUUUUCUGUGAGAACAUUUUGUUUCGGAAUUUUCAAAGCAUUUUAUACUGUGAUUGGGGCCGCAAUUGUUUUGUGUACAAGUUGUGUGCUUUGCAUUGUGGAAAUUGUAUUAGUCAAUGGCUUAUUGAUUUUCAAUGUAAAGUUAAUAAUCUGUUACAAAAUAUUAGUACAUAAUUUCGUACAUGUAAAAAGGCUGUAUCAGCUGGUAGUUUGCAUGUAUAAAACGUGUAAAUUGUGGCAGUAUUUUGUUUCUUACUUAACCCGUCUUGAAACACGGACCAAGGAGCCUAACAAACUUGCGAGUUUUUGAGCAUGAAAGCUUUUUAGCGUAAUAAAAUGUAAUUGCACUGUGGUGCUAAGACGUUAUCCGUUCUAAACGGCGCAACGUUAUCCCGUCUAUAUUGAGUUUCAAUAAGGCGGAGAAAGAGCAAGUGUGUUAGGGCCCGAAAGAUGCUGACCUAUGCCUGAGCAAGACGAAGCCAGGGGAAACUCUGGUGGAAGUCUGAAGCGGUUCUGACGUGCAAAUCGAUCGUCUGACGUUGGUAUAGGGGCGAAAGACUUAUCGAAGCAUCUAGUAGCUGGUUUCCUCCGAAGUUUCCCUCAGGAUAGCUGGAGUUUUACACAGUCUCAUCUGGUAAAGCGAAUGAUUAGAGGUCUUGGGGGUGAAAUGCCUUCAACCUAUUCUCAAACUUUUAAUGGGUGAAAAGCUUAGCUUUUUUAAUUAAAGUUAAGUGUCUGAUGUGAACGCCCAGUGGGCCAUUUUUGGUAAGCAGAACUGGCGAUGCGGGAUGAACCAAACGUCAAGUUAAGGUGCCCGAUGUUAAACGCUCAUAAGAUCCCAUAAAGGGUGUUGGUUGCUUAGGACAGCAGGACGGUGGCCAUGGAAGUCGGAAUCCGCUAAGGAGUGUGUAACAACUCACCUGCCGAAGCAACUAGCCCCGAAAAUGGAUGGCGCUUAGCGUUGAACCUAUACUUGACCGCCGACGUUGUAUUACAUGUUGGUGAGUAGGAGGGCCAAAAUGGUAGAAUCGAAUGGCUAAACGUAAGAUGACCAGAAUCUUCCAUUUGCGCAGAUCUUGGUGGUAGUAGCAAAUACUCAAGAGAGAGCCUUGAGGACUGAAGUGGAGAAGGGUUCCAUGUGAACAGCAGUUGAACAUGGGUCAGUCGGUCCUAAGCAAUUAGCUAAAGCUAUAUAAAGAUGCUUUUUGUAAGCGUUUUGCGAAAGGGAAUCAGGACAAUAUUCCUGAACCUUUAAACGGAGAAAUUUUUUUAGGAAGAUUUUGCGGUAACGCAAAUAAGCUUAGAGAAGCCAAUUAGAGCCCCGGGAAGAGUUUUCUUUUCUUUUUAAGUAGUUGAAGCCCCUGGAAUAGGUUUGCCCUGAGAUAGGGGUCAUCACUGCAUAAAGCUAUGCGCUUCUUGUGUAGUCUGGUGCGCUCAUAUUGGCCCUUGAAAAUCUAAGUGAGAACAAGUUAAUUAUCGUUCAAGGCCGUACCCAUAUCCGCAGCAGGUCUCCAAGGUGAGCAGCCUCUAGUUUCUGGAACAAUGUAGGUAAGGGAAGUCGGCAAAACGGAUCCGUAACCUUGGAAUAAGGAUUGGCUCUGAGAGCUGGACUAGUUGGGCGAAAUAUUGAAGCAUUGAUUUAUCCUCGGCAGGACUGGGUUUUGCUUGCAGCGCUUGCGGCUUGCUGACUCGGACCAGUGUUGGAAGAUUUAUGUGGAAGUUUUUCGUUUUCAUAUGCUUUGCUUCUGCAGUUGUAUUUGUAUCGGCUAGUGAACAACAGCUAUCUCAGAACUGGUACGGAACCAGAGAAUCCGACUUUUUAAUUAAAAGAAAGCAUUGCGAUGGCCGGUGAUCGGUGUUGACGCAAUGUGAUUUCUGCCCAGUGCUCAGAAUGUCAAAGUGACGAGAUUCACAGAAGCGCGGGUAAACGGCGGGAGUAACUAUGACUCUCUUAAGGUAGCCAAAUGCCUCGUCAUCUAAUUAGUGACGCGCAUGAAUGGAUUAACGAGAUUCUCACUGUCCCUAUCUACUAUCUAGCGAAACCACAGCCAAGGGAACGGGCUUGGAUUGUAAGGUAAGGAAAGAAGACCCUUUUGAGUUUGACUCUAUUUUGGCUUUGUGAAGAGACAUGAAAGGUGUAGCAUAAGUGGGAGCUAGCAUUGCUGGCGCAAAUGAAAUACCACUACUCUCAAUGUCUCUUUACUUACUCGGUGAAGCGAAAAGAAGCGAAAGUUUACCUUUAUAAUGUUAAUCGUUGUAUAUUUAACAUCGUGAUUUGCUUCGAGAACAUUGUCAGAUUGGGAGCUUGGCUGGGGCGGUACAUCUAUCAAAUGGUAACGUAGGUGUCCUAAGGCGAGCUCAGCGAGGACAGAAACCUCGCGUAGAGCAAAAGGGCAAAUGCUUGCUUGAUCUUGAUUUUCAGUACGAAUACAGACCGAGAAAUCGGGGCCUAUCGAUCCUUUUGUUUUUAAAAGUUUUAAGCAAGAGGUGUCAGAAAAAUUACCAGAGGGAUAACUGGCUUGUUGCGUCCAAGCGUUCAUAGCGACGUCGCUUUUUGAUUCUUCGAUGUCGACUCUUUCUAUCAUUGCCAAGUAGAAUUGGCCAAGCGUUGGAUUGUUCACCCACUAAUAGAGAACGUGAGUUGGGUUUAGACCGUCGCGUGACAGGUUAGUUUUACCCUUCCUUAACUUUUGUUGCAAUGGUAAUCCUGCUUAGUACGAGAGGAACCGCAGGUUCGGAUAAUUGGUUCACGUGCUUAGUCGAAAGGCUAAUGGUGCGAGGCUAUCAUCCG
rnacentral:rRNA from 1 species